rnacentral:rRNA from 1 species
GGCGGCGUGCCUAAUACAUGCAAGUCGAACGCACUCUCGUUUAGAUUGAAGGGAGCUUUGCUCCUGAUUGAUAAACAUUUGAGUGAGUGGCGGACGGGUGAGUAACACGUGGGUAACCUGCCCUAAAGUGGGGGAUAACAUUUGGAAACAGAUGCUAAUACCGCAUAAAACCUAACACCGCAUGGUGUAGGGUUGAAAGAUGGUUUCGGCUAUCACUUUAGGAUGGACCCGCGGUGCAUUAGUUAGUUGGUGAGGUAAAGGCUCACCAAGACCGUGAUGCAUAGCCGACCUGAGAGGGUAAUCGGCCACACUGGGACUGAGACACGGCCCAGACUCCUACGGGAGGCAGCAGUAGGGAAUCUUCCACAAUGGACGAAAGUCUGAUGGAGCAACGCCGCGUGAGUGAAGAAGGUUUUCGGAUCGUAAAACUCUGUUGUUGGAGAAGAAUGUAUCUGAUAGUAACUGAUCAGGUAGUGACGGUAUCCAACCAGAAAGCCACGGCUAACUACGUG